GGUAGGGUAGCCGAGAGCGCAGGCGGCGGGUUGUAGCCCUGAAGACGGAGGUUCGAGCCCUCUCCCUAUCA
rnacentral:tRNA from 1 species